rnacentral:rRNA from 1 species
CCCUACGGGGGGCAGCAGUAGGGAAUUUUCGUCAAUGGGCGCAAGCCUGAACGAGCGAUGCCGCGUGAGUGAAGAAGGCCUUCGGAUCGUAAAGUUCUGUUGAAGGGGAAAAAGAGCGGAGAGAGGAAAUGGUCUCCGAUUGAUAUUACCCUUCGAGGAAGUCACGGCUAACUACGUGCCAGCAGCCGCGGUAAUACGUAGGUGGCGAGCGUUAUCCGGAAUGAUUGGGCGUAAAGGGUGCGUAGGCGGCCUGCUAAGUCUGGAGUGAAAGGUACCGGCUCAACCGGUACAGGCUCUGGAAACUG